GCAGAUAUCAGGAGGAACACCGAUGGCGAAGGCAGAUCUCUGGGCCGUAACUGACGCUGAGGAGCGAAAGCGUGGGGAGCGAACAGGAUUAGAUACCCUGGUAGUCCACGCCGUAAACGUUGGGCGCUAGAUGUAGGGACCUUUCCACGGUUUCUGUGUCGUAGCUAACGCAUUAAGCGCCCCGCCUGGGGAGUACGGCCGCAAGGCUAAAACUCAAAGGAAUUGACGGGGGCCCGCACAAGCGGCGGAGCAUGCGGAUUAAUUCGAUGCAACGCGAAGAACCUUACCAAGGCUUGACAUACACCGGAAACGGCCAGAGAUGGUCGCCCCCUUGUGGUCGGUGUACAGGUGGUGCAUGGUUGUCGUCAGCUCGUGUCGUGAGAUGUUGGGUUAAGUCCCGCAACGAGCGCAACCCUCGUUCUAUGUUGCCAGCGCGUUAUGGCGGGGACUCAUAGGAGACUGCCGGGGUCAACUCGGAGGAAGGUGGGGAUGACGUCAAAUCAUCAUGCCCCUUAUGUCUUGGGCUUCACGCAU
rnacentral:rRNA from 1 species